rnacentral:lncRNA from 1 species
CAAGCACAUCGCUGAAAUAUUUACAUUUGAUUUGGUCACCAAACUUGCUUGGCAACCUCUAAUGGAGUUUGUUGAUCAAUAAAAAAAAACGAAAACCUGAGAUGGGUGGAGGGCGUCAGCGGACGGCCGAGGCGACGGUGUGCGCCCACAUCCGGAGGUGCUCCUUGAGGUCGUUGCCGUUGCCGGGCGGCGGGAUCCGCCAGUUCCGCAGCGCCCUCCUGACCUCUUCCUCCUCGUCGUCCCAAGCCUCCGAGAGGUACGGCCUCCUCGGUGCCGGGGCGGCGGCGGUGGCUUCCUCCUCCCGCAGGGCGGAGGACGACGCGGCGGCCCGCGGCGCCGCGGGAGCCGACGCGGUGGCCCUGCUGUUCUCCUCCUCGGAGCGCUUUCGGCGCAGGCCCGGAACGAUGGACGCGAGCUCGGCGUCCACCUCGGCGUCGGAGAAGGUGAAGCCGAGGUCCUGCAAGCCCUUGACCUCCUCGAACUCGAGCUCCGACAUGCUCCGCCCGCGCCGCCGCCGCCGCCUCCCGGGCCCGGCCGGGCGCCACGCCUCGGGCCGCCUCCUCUCCAGCUGCGGCGCGGGCGCGGCGAGGCCGUCCUUGCCCGACAGGAUGGUCUCGAGCCGCGCGCGGUUGCCGCUGUCGGGGAGCCUGAGCGGCUCCAGGCCCUGGAACGCGGCCGCGGCCGCCUCGUCGCUCCGCGUCCGCCGGUGCCGCAGCCCGCCGGCAGCGGUGGGGCUCGAUGAAGAAGCCGCCCGCUCGCGCUCCGGCGCCGGUGGCCCUGGCGGCGUCGGCGCCGCGGGCGCAACGGGGGACGGGAGCAGCACGAGGCGGCGGAACCAGCAGGCGUCGUACAGAGCCAUGGUCCGCUCCGCGGCCGCCGCGGCAGCAGCAGCUUGUUGCGGCCGCUCCAUUUGGGGAGCGGGGAGCGAGAGCGAGAGGGAUGGGGAGGAGCGCGCGCGCGUUGUGUGUCGCGGCGCGACUGGGUU